ensembl:lncRNA
CGGCGGAGCGGCCGAGCAGGGAAGAUGGCGGCGGCGGGCGCGGGGGCCCGGGCCAGGGCCCGGUGCGGGGUCCUCCGCCGGCGCCGGCGCUUCCAACCCGCGGAAGUUCAGCGAGAAAAUCGCGCUGCAGAAGCAGCGGCAGGCCGAGGAGACGGCGGCGUUCGAGGAAGUGAUGAUGGAGAUCUGCAACACCCGGCUGCAGGCCCAGAAGCUGCGGUUGGCGCACAGCCGGGGGCCGUUUUACAGCGGGUCGCUGCCCAACGUCAAUCAGAUCGGCAGCGGCGUCCCCGACUUCCAGGGAUCCCUGCAUUCGCCGCUGGACUCCACGCGCAGCACGCGGCACCACGGCCUGGUGGAGAGAGUGCAGAGGGACCCCCGCCGGAUGGUGUCCCCCCUGCGCCGCUACGUGCGCCAGAUAUCCUGCGGGCCGGCCGGCCACCCCCCCAUCCGUACCCCCAUCCGUCCUCCCGCCCCCCCAUCUGUCCAUCCAUCCAUCCACCCCCCCAUCCAUCCUCUCACCCCCCCAUCUGUCCAUCCAUCCAUCCACACCGCCAUCCACCCCUCCACCCGUCCCUCUAUCCACCCCCCCACCCCCCCAUCAACCCCCCAUCCGUCCUCCCAACCCCCAUCUGUCCAUCCAUCCAUCCACACCACCAUCCACCCCCCCCAUCUGUCCAUCCAUCCAUCCAUCCAUCCAUCC